UCCUAAAGAGUAACGGAGGCGCUCAAAGGUUCCCUCAGAAUGGUUGGAAAUCAUUCAUAGAGUGUAAAGGCAUAAGGGAGCUUGACUGCGAGACCUACAAGUCGAGCAGGGUCGAAAGACGGACUUAGUGAUCCGGUGGUUCCGCAUGGAAGGGCCAUCGCUCAACGGAUAAAAGCUACCCCGGGGAUAACAGGCUUAUCUCCCCCAAGAGUUCACAUCGACGGGGAGGUUUGGCACCUCGAUGUCGGCUCAUCGCAUCCUGGGGCUGUAGUCGGUCCCAAGGGUUGGGCUGUUCGCCCAUUAAAGCGGUACGCGAGCUGGGUUCAGAACGUCGUGAGACAGUUCGGUCCCUAUCCGUCGUGGGCGUAGGAAAUUUGAGAGGAGCUGUCCUUAGUACGAGAGGACCGGGAUGGACAUACCUCUGGUGUACCAGUUGUCGUGCCAACGGCAUAGCUGGGUAGCUAUGUAUGGACGGGAUAAGUGCUGAAAGCAUCUAAGCAUGAAGCCCCCCUCGAGAUGAGAUUUCCCAACUUCGGUUAUAAGAUCCCUCAAAGAUGAUGAGGUGAAUAGGUUCGAGGUGGAAGCGUAGCGAUACGUGGAGCUGACGAAUACUA
rnacentral:rRNA from 1 species